rnacentral:lncRNA from 1 species
CCCUCCCCGUGGGCGAGAUCACCUGUCCCUCCUCCGCCGCCGCCUCCUCGGGUACCCUUUCGCCCCCCUCCUGCUCCCCCUCCUCCGCCACCUCCCCCAAGCCCUCCCCUUCCCCGCCUCCUCCCACCCCUCGGUGUAUAUAGUAAAGGCCGGGCGCCGCACGCAGACACACUCGUCUGGACACAGGCGCACACACGCUCACGCACGACCGGCAGCAGCGGCGGCGACAGCAGCUCGGUGACAGCGGCGACGGCAGCUCCCACCGCUGCGCACCCCCUUCAGGCGGCCGGCGGCGAGGCCAGACCGGAGAGUUCCCGCACCCGCGACCACCCCUUGGCUUCCUGGAGGCGGCGGCCGCGAUUGCAAGGUAGCGGCCGCGACGCCCCCGUGCGGGCCGGGGUACCCCCCCGCCCCGUGCCCUCCCCGCGCGGACCUGCCACCGGGACGCAGGGGGCGCGCCGGGCUGGGCGCGCCUGGCGGGGCCCGGCGCCCGGGGAGGGGCCUGCUCCCGGAGGCAGGACGGCGCCCGGAGGCCGGGGCCAGCGGGGAGGGCCGGGCGGGGGCGGGGACGCGAGCCGAGGCCGCCACCCGCGCGGCGUCCCCGGGCCCCGCUCCUGCUCCCGGCGCCGCGCACUGGCCGGCGGGGCUGGGGCCGGCCGGGGAGGCGGCGCCGGGCGGCGGGGCGGGGGCCCCGAAGUGGGUUUCGGGCCGCCACCGGCGCUGGCACCGGGCGCAGAGGGCGGCGCGCGGCGGACUCCGCGCCCGGGCAUCGCACCGGGCCGCCUUCGGCUCUGCCGCUCUGCCCUGGCCCGGAAAACCCGGCGCCUUCCAGGCCCUUCGAAAGAUGGAUUCUGUUGACGUAUCUGGCGGCCCUGGCGAGCAGGGUGGAAAGUUGGGUUUUGCCAGAUCUCACUGGGCUCGUCUUUGUGACGCUCGGCCAGCCCCGCAUCCUUCCGGAGCUGGCUCCACUCCCCCUGGCCUCUCCCGACCCCGCCGGCUCUGUGAAUGCCAAGGAAAUGGACUCUUUCAGUGGAGACUUACGCAGGAACCAAGCAAAGAAUGGUCCCGAACCCAUGUUCAUAAAUCGAUUGAAGUCGGGAAGAACAGCCACGGGAGUCAGUGCUUUCAGUGCAGAAAAGUUUGCACGUGGAGGCUCCGAACUGGGCUCUGAGCACUUGGGCGGCUCCUGCCGUUCUGGUUUUCAGCCAGGGGGGCUCGAGUUGCUCGGAGGCUGCAAGUCUGCCUGCCCCCAGCACCCGCUGUGUACAGAGCCGUCCGUCCCGGGAAGCACGGUGUCGGGUAAGGUGAUGCUAGCGGCUGUUCUGAACAAGUCGAAUGUGUAUUGCGGCUCAAGUGCAGCAGAAGUUUGCUCCUUCCUCACAUAA